rnacentral:lncRNA from 1 species
UGACCUUGAUUAUUGUCUCCAAAUGUCACUGCACCUCCCUUUUUAGGCUCUAGGGUGAAGAAUUGCUCCUUGUCACCCGUCAUGUGUCUUGAGCAGCCACUAUCCAAGCACCAACAGUUUUUGUUGACUUUGGCUGCAAGACACUCCUACAAAAGGAAAUCAUAUAAUUUUAGGUACCCAAGUUUUCUUGGGUCCUUUAAGAUUAGUAAAGUUGGUUCCUUUUGGAACCCAAACCUUUUUAUUUUUUCUUUUAGCUCCUACCUUCCUAUGGUCACACACAUUAGCUUUAUGUCCUACCUU